rnacentral:piRNA from 1 species
UAGGAUUGAAUUUUGUGUCAAAACCUGAUG